rnacentral:lncRNA from 1 species
GCAGGCUAGCCCUGGAGCUCAGAGCUGGCCCUGGGACCUCAGUAGUCCUGACUAACCCUUGCUAGAGUGGACUAGUUCAUUCCCAGAGGCCUUUCCAGAUGGGCCCGUCAGGAACAGGCUGAUGCGCUGGUACCCUCCUUCUGACGCUACCCAACAAGGAUGGAAGUCCCGGCAAUUCUGUUAGUUUUAAGCUGCUUUUGGUCCACAUUUUCCCC